UGCGCAGGCGGCUUAUUAAGUCAGUGGUGAAAUCUCUCGGCUCAACCGAGAAACUGCCAUUGAAACUGAUAAGCUUGAGUGUAGUUGUAGUAGGCGGAAUAUAGCAUGUAGCGGUGAAAUGCUUAGAUAUGCUAUAGAACACCGAUCGCGAAAACAGCUUACUAAACUAUCACUGACGCUCAUGCACGAAAGCGUGGGGAGCAAACAGGAUUAGAUACCCUGGUAGUCC
rnacentral:rRNA from 1 species